rnacentral:rRNA from 1 species
UACGUAGGUGGCAAGCGUUGUCCGGAUUUACUGGGCGUAAAGAGCGCGCAGGCGGUCGGAUAAGUCGAAUGUGAAAGCCCCCGGCUCAACUGGGGAGGGUCAUUCGAUACUGUUCGACUCGAAGGCAGGAGAGGGAAGUGGAAUUCCCGGUGUAGUGGUGAAAUGCGUAGAUAUCGAGAGGAACGACCGGUGGCGAAGGCGGCCAACUGGACCAU